rnacentral:lncRNA from 1 species
CCUUAUCCUACUCCUCCCCCUCCGUGUCCCCCAACAUUUCCACCAAAACACCCUCCACAUGUAAAGCCACCUUUCCACCCCAAACCACCGCAUCACAAGCCACCCCAUGUCAAACCACCGCACAAGCCCCCGUAUGUUCCUAAACCACCUUAUUCCCCAAGCCCUAAACCGCCUUACGUGCCAAAACCACCUCAUACUCCAGUCCCUAGGCCACCAUAUUUCCCCAAACCACCUUACACACCAAGGCCUAAGCCACCAUAUGCGCCAAAACCACCUUAUACGCCAACCCCUAAGCCACCAUAUUUCCCCAAACCACCUUACACACCAAGGCCGAAGCCACCAUAUGUGCCAAAACCACCUUAUACGCCAGCCCCUAAGCCACCAUAUUUUCCCAAACCACCUUACACACCAAGGCCUAAGCCACCAUAUGCACCAAAACCACCUUAUACGCCAACACCUAAGCCACCAUAUUUCCCCAAACCACCUUACACACCAAGGCCUAAGCCACCGUACGUGCCAAAACCACCGUACACACCAAGGCCUAAGCCACCGUACGUGCCAAAACCACCAUACACACCAACCCCUAAGCCACCGUACGUGCCAAAACCACCUUACACCCCAACCCCUAAGCCACCGUACGUGCCAAAACCACCGUAUACCCCAACUCCUAAGCCACCGUACGUCCCAUCGCCACCUUAUACCCCUCGCCCUAAACCACCGUAUGUACCAUCACCACCUUAUACCCCUAGCCCUAAACCACCGUAUGUGCCAUCACCACCAUAUACCCCAAGCCCUACCCCACCAUAUGUACCAUCACCACCGUAUACCCCAAGCCCACCAUAUGUACCAUCACCACCGUAUACCCCAAGCCCUAGCCCACCACCACCACCAAGUGGAACACCGUGUCCUCCGCCGCCGCCACCAAAGGUGAGACCGUACCCUCCACCACCAUCACAAACUUGUCCCAUUGAUACUCUCAAGCUUGGUGCAUGCGUCGAC